rnacentral:rRNA from 1 species
AUUGAACGCUGGCGGCAGGCCUAACACAUGCAAGUCGAGCGGUAACACAGGGAGCUUGCUCCUGGGUGACGAGCGGCGGACGGGUGAGUAAUGUCUGGGAAACUGCCUGAUGGAGGGGGAUAACUACUGGAAACGGUAGCUAAUACCGCAUAACGUCGCAAGACCAAAGAGGGGGACCUUCGGGCCUCUUGCCAUCAGAUGUGCCCAGAUGGGAUUAGCUAGUAGGUGGGGUAAUGGCUCACCUAGGCGACGAUCCCUAGCUGGUCUGAGAGGAUGACCAGCAACACUGGAACUGAGACACGGUCCAGACUCCUACGGGAGGCAGCAGUGGGGAAUAUUGCACAAUGGGCGCAAGCCUGAUGCAGCCAUGCCGCGUGUAUGAAGAAGGCCUUCGGGUUGUAAAGUACUUUCAGCGGGGAGGAAGGUGUUGAGGUUAAUAACCUCAGCAAUUGACGUUACCCGCAGAAGAAGCACCGGCUAACUCCGUGCCAGCAGCCGCCGUAA